UCGAAAAACGUCUCGCAAGUCAUACAACC
rnacentral:sRNA from 1 species